AUUAGAUAUGAAAGAUGUUGGAGCCCAAAAACGGCCCAAAAUCAAAUAGUGGAGGCGAAAGUCGGCCCAAACCCUCAGCCCAAACGCCCCAUUCUCGUUAUUAUUCCCCCAAAACCCGAUCCCAACCUAUCUCCGCCGCCAUUGUCACCUUCUCCCGCCGCCGCCGAUCAAACCCACCAAGCUCGCCAUCGCCAAUCUCCACCUCCGACCAAGCCCAAGGGAGCUAAUAUGCAAACUGAGAGGUCUGAAACUACAAAAUAAGAAGUCCUGCACGAAUGAGCUAUUUUUAUUCCCUCCAACCUCUUGAAAAGAAUUGCCGAGAGA